UACGGAGGAUGCAAGCGUUAAUCGGAAUUACUGGGCGUAAAGCGCACGCAGGCGGUCUGUCAAGUCGGAUGUGAAAUCCCCGGGCUCAACCUGGGAACUGCAUUCGAAACUGGCAGGCUAGAGUCUUGUAGAGGGGGGUAGAAUUCCAGGUGUAGCGGUGAAAUGCGUAGAGAUCUGGAGGAAUACCGGUGGCGAAGGCGGCCCCCUGGACAAAGACUGACGCUCAGGUGCGAAAGCGUGGGGAGCAAACAGG
rnacentral:rRNA from 1 species